GCCGCCAUAGCUCAAUGGUAGAGCGCCCGCCUUGUAAGCGGAUGGUUAAGGGUUCAAAUCCCUUUGGCGGCU
rnacentral:tRNA from 1 species